UGGGGAUUUUCAUAAAGGGAUUCUGGCAGCGCUGAUCGCCUCAAUGUUUUGUCAGCUGACAUUGUUUUCGAGUUAGUUGGAAAAUUGUUGCACCAAGUGUAGACUAAAUUGCGCUCUGAUAAAAAAAAUCGCCCGGACGAAAAGCACCUGGCGUAAUAAUGCCAGGGCAAGGCAAAGACCAAAGCUUAAUUGAAAAACAGCGUCUUCUAGAGGAAAAACGCCAUCUGGAAGACAUCGAAAUGGAGACGGCGCAAAAGAAGAAAAAAGUUGAGGAAGAGUUGUUAGCAAUAGAUUUGAUCAUUAAAAAGAAACAGACAUUUAUGAAUGACUUGGACAUGGUUCGGGGGAGUGAUCCCUCUAUCAAUGUCGUGAGACGUGUUGCUCAAUUAAGCCUUGACGCCCAAAAAUAGGCAGGGAACUACGAGGAAGAUUGGUUUGAGGAAUACGAAGAUUUGCUUCUCAACGUCAUUCGGGACAUUUUUGAGAACUCUAACUGACUCAACACUAUCAAUCUUUGUUGCAGUAUUCUGCUUCUUUUGUUCAUAAGACCAAUGUCAUUUUGCCAUAAUAUAUCUUUCAUAAAGUUUGCUAUCA